rnacentral:rRNA from 1 species
UACGGAGGGUGCAAGCGUUAUCCGGAUUCACUGGGUUUAAAGGGUGCGUAGGUGGGCAGGUAAGUCAGUGGUGAAAUCUCCGGGCUUAACUCGGAAACUGCCAUUGAUACUAUCUGUCUUGAAUACCGUGGAGGUUAGCGGAAUAUGUCAUGUAGCGGUGAAAUGCUUAGAUAUGACAUAGAACGCCAAUUGCGAAGGCAGCUGGCUACACGAAUAUUGACACUGAUGCACGAAAGCGUGGGGAUCAAACAGG